GAAUAUAUUAGUUAAGUAUACAAUUUAAAUAUAAUACAUAUUGCAAUAGUUAUAAUUAUUUGUGGGACAUAUUUUACAAUAAGACUUAGAUCUUCAUGUGGUCGUCUUUCUCGAAGUUCUUUCUCAAACAACUGAAAUUUAAGAGACAAGCAUUCCAUUUGAUGCCCCAGCCUGCGAACUUCUCCUAAUAAGAUGUCAAUUUUGUUCUUGUUCAUGCUUCGAUCUUCCAUCCCUCCAAAGUCAUUACAUUCACUACUCUUCCGAUCAUCAUCCCAUUCAAAAGCCCCACAUCCUUUGCACUUCCAAAACUUACGAUUCAGAUUUUCUCUCGUACGUGAAAUUCGUAAGACCUUAUUAUUAUUGCUGCAUUUUUCACAAGCUUUCACAUGUGUUCGAUUUUCACUUGUGUUGCUACAA
rnacentral:lncRNA from 1 species